CGUAGGGUGCAAGCGUUAAUCGGAAUUACUGGGCGUAAAGCGUGCGCAGGCGGUUAUGUAAGACAGUUGUGAAAUCCCCGGGCUCAUCCUGGGAACUGCAUCUGUGACUGCAUAGCUAGAGUACGGUAGAGGGGGAUGGAAUUCCGCGUGUAGCAGUGAAAUGCGUAGAUAUGCGGAGGAACACCGAUGGCGAAGGCAAUCCCCUGGACCUGUACUGACGCUCAUGCACGAAAGCGUGGGGAGCAAACAGGAUUAGAUACCCUGGUAGUCCACGCCCUAAACGAUGUCAACUGGUUGUUGGGUCUUCACUGACUCAGUAACGAAGCUAACGCGUGAAGUUGACCGCCUGGGGAGUACGGCCGCAAGGUUG
rnacentral:rRNA from 1 species